GGACUUUGCCAUUGGGCAUGGUAGUGCACAUCCGGUUGUAGAGGCUCGGUUAGCCCUCAGCGGAGGAGCCGUAAGGUAUUACCUGUCGAUUGACGUAUCUGCAGAAGAGCACGCUACUCGUGCCAGCAGCGCGUAUACGAGGGUGCAGCGUAAUCGAUUACUGGGCGUAAAGCGCACGCAGGCGUCUGUCAAGUCGGAUGUGAAAUCCCCGGCUCACCUUGGGAACUGCAUUCGAACUGGCAGGCUAGAGUCCUGUAGAGGGGGGUAGAAUUCCAGGUGUAGCGGUGAAAUGCGUAGAGAUCUGGAGGAAUACCGGUGGCGAAGGCGGCCCCCUGGACAAAGACUGACGCUCAGGUGCGAAAGCGUGGGGAGCAAACAGGAUUAGAUACCCCUGGUAGUCCACGCCGUAAACGAUGUCGAUUUGGAGGUUGUGCCCUUGAGGCGUGGCUUCCGGAGCUAACGCGUUAAAUCGACCGCCUGGGGAGUACGGCCGCAAGGUUAAAACUCAAAUGAAUUGACGGGGGCCCGCACAAGCGGUGGAGCAUGUGGUUUAAUUCGAUGCAACGCGAAGAACCUUACCUGGUCUUGACAUCCACAGAACUUAGCAGAGAUGGUUUGGUGCCUUCGGGAACUGUGAGACAGGUGCUGCAUGGCUGUCGUCAGCUCGUGUUGUGAAAUGUUGGGUUAAGUCCCGCAACGAGCGCAACCCUUAUCCUUUGUUGCCAGCGGUUAGGCCGGGAACUCAAAGGAGACUGCCAGUGAUAAACUGGAGGAAGGUGGGGAUGACGUCAAGUCAUCAUGGCCCUUACGACCAGGGCUACACACGUGCUACAAUGGCAUAUACAAAGAGAAGCGACCUCGCGAGAGCAAGCGGACCUCAUAAAGUAUGUCGUAGUCCGGAUUGGAGUCUGCAACUCGACUCCAUGAAGUCGGAAUCGCUAGUAAUCGUAGAUCAGAAUGCUACGGUGAAUACGUUCCCGGGCCUUGUACACACCGCCCGUCACACCAUGGGAGUGGGUUGCAAAAGAAGUAGGUAGCUUAACUUCGGAGGGCGCUAC
rnacentral:rRNA from 1 species